UUAGGCUCUUUUUUGGAUCGUAAUAAUUUCAUGGUUUUUUUUUUUUUUUUUUUUUUUUU
rnacentral:ribozyme from 1 species